AGUGCUGCUGGUACCAGCCUCCUGUUCCUGACAAGACUUUGGGAAACUGUUAGCAGGGCCUUAGAAGCACAUUUGCUCUUGGGAGGCAGCCUGCUCUAUUGCUCUUUGGCACUGAGGGAAGCUCUCUGGGGAGAGGAGCCCACCAAUGCUUGGCUGACAAGAUCUUAGUCAUGUCUGCUGUUCCUUUACCUUUGCUGCCGUCUUCAUAUCACUAAGGGAGCCCUGCGGAGUGGGGUGGAGUUCAAGAUGGACUCUCAAGAAGUUAUAGGAAGCUCUUUAUCAAUUCUAUUCCUGAGAAGGACCCACUUCAGGGAUGUUACAGUGCAGACAAAGAUUCUGGUGCCUCACAAGAUUUGACACAAGCCAGUGCUUUGUUGUUUUUCUCACCUGUUGGCCAGAAGAUUAUCUUGGAGCAGGAAAAGGAGCCAAGAGAAGCCUCUGAAGGAUUGUAAACAGAAGAAUGAUCCAAUUGUGUUUGUAAAUUAAAAGGUCACCCUGGC